UAUCUCUGUAGAGUCUGCAUAUCAAUAAGCGGAGGAAAAGAAACUAACAAGGAUUCCCUUAGUAACGGCGAGUGAAGCGGGAAGAGCUCAAAUUUGAAAUCUUCAAGGUUUUACCUUGACGAAUUGUAGUUUAAAGAAGUGUUUUCUGUUGAAGUUUCGGUAAAAGUUCUUUGGAAUAGGACAUCAUAGAGGGUGAGAAUCCCGUAUUUGACCGUUAUUUUCAGCUGUGUGAUACACUUUCAAAGAGUCGGAUUGUUUGGGAAUGCAGUCCAAAAUGGGUGGUAAAUUUCAUCUGAAGCUAUAUAUUGGCGAGGGACCGAUAGCGAACAAGUACCGUGAGGGAAAGAUGAAAAGAACUUUGAAAAGAGAGUUAAACAGUACGUGAAAUUGUCAAAAGGGAAGCGUUUGACACCAGUGUUGUUUUCUCGAAAAUCAAUUAAAAAUGGCUUGAUUUUGUGUUGUAUUGACCUUAAAAGCUUUCUUCACUUUUUUCAUGUCUUUUUUAAUGCACUUUUCGUUUAACAAGUCAACAUCAGUUUCUUUUGUUGUAAAAAGGUCAUUGGAAGGUGGCUUUCUUUUCGGAGAAAGUGUUUAUAGCCUUUGACUUCUGCAAUCGGAGAGACUGAGGUCUGCAGCGUAGAUCCUUCUGGAUUAGAUUCAUUUGUGCUAAGUUACAACCGUUUAUAGACAACUUGUUGACUAUAUUCGAUCCUGUAGCUUACUCGCUUAUGUAAUUUUACCUACGCUUAGGAUGUUGAAGAUGUAGCACAUCAU
rnacentral:rRNA from 1 species